AGCGAACGCUGGCGGCAGGCCUAACACAUGCAAGUCGAACGAAGUCUUCGGACUUAGUGGCGGACGGGUGAGUAACACGUGGGAACGUACCUUUUGGUUCGGAACAACUCAGGGAAACUUGAGCUAAUACCGGAUGAGCCCUUAGGGGGAAAGAUUUAUCGCCGAAAGAGCGGCCCGCGUUAGAUUAGCUAGUUGGUGAGGUAAAGGCUCACCAAGGCUACGAUCUAUAGCUGGUCUGAGAGGAUGAUCAGCCACACUGGGACUGAGACACGGCCCAGACUACUACGGGAGGCAGCAGUGGGGAAUCUGGCGAAAUGGGCGAAAGCCUGACGCAGCCAUGCCGCGUGAAUGAUGAAGGUCUUAGGAUUGUAAAAUUCUUUUACCAGGGACGAUGAUGAUGGUACCUGGAGAAAAAGCCCCGGCUAACUUCGUGCCAGCCGCCGCAGUAACAC
rnacentral:rRNA from 1 species